UAUAUAUAUAUAUAUGUUUGGUUUUUAUUCCACAGGUAUCAAUGGUGAUGAAUUCUGGUUAGAUCAGUCACCUGCUGCGAUAAAGAGACCUAGAGAAACAGUGAAAAUCUCCUUUAAAACAUCAGGUUUUACAAUGACAGACUACUGGAUGCAAUGGAUUUGAGAGACACCAGGGAAAGCUCUGGAGUGGAUUGGGGGAGUUAACUCUGGCAUAAGUUCUUGCUCUGAUUAUUUUAUUUAUGCAGACACCAUGAAAAAAUCAAUUCACUAUGAGUGAGGACGUGUCUCAAAGUACACAGUAUCUUGAAGCCAAGAGUCUGAGAGAAGAGGACACUGCUGUUUAUUACUGUGCUCAACGGACAUCUGAUGAAGCAGCUCUACAACAACUCAGAACAACUACAGUGAAAAAAGACCAAGCUGGUGGUUAUUAAGCCUCUUAUUAAGAAACUAAAAUAGAUAAUUGGCAAAUUACAGGCCCAUUUCAAGUCUUCCAUUAAUGUCUAAAAUUUUUUAAAAAGUUGUUUCUGCUCAAUUGUGCUCCUUCCUGCAAAAAAAAAGAUCUGUAUGAAGAAUUCCACCAUAGCACAGAAACUGCACAUGUUAAAAUUACAAAUGACCUGCUACUUGCGUCAGAUUAAGGCUGCAUCUCAUUUCUAGUUUUACUUGAUCUUAGUGCUGCAAUCACCACCAUAGAUCAUGACAUACUCAUAGAUCGAUUACAAACCUAUACAGGUAUUCAAGGGCAGGCUCUAACACAGAAACAACAACCAUAAACAUCUAACACAAACUGUUAGCAAUAUACAGUACAUAUAGAUUUCUAAUUUUUGAGACACUGUGGUUGUUGUUCAUUCAACUAGAAAAUAAUUAAAACUUAAAAAAAGGUUCUUCCUACUACAACUAUAAAAAAAACAUUCAUUUAAGUCUUUAAACAUGCAAAUGAUUUCGUAGGAAGGAUCAGUGCCACUCAGACUCUCAAAGGACUGUGUUAUAAAGUCAGUCCUCAGUCAGUGUCUAGCUGCAGUGUCUUUUUAUUUUAUUCAUUUGACAGUUUAAGAUUGAUAAUGGAAAUUAUAUUGUUUGGAGUUUUUCUUCAAGUGAUUAUUUCAACUGUUAGUGGUCAGUCUUUGACCUCCUCAGAGAAUGCUUUGAAAAAUCCUGGAAGAACAGUGAUUCUGUCCUGCACUGUGUCUGGAAUCUCAAUGAGCAGUCACUGGAUGCACUGGAUCCGCCAGCAACCAGGGAAAGGACUGGAGUGGAUUGGAUGUAUAGAUACUGGCUCAAGUGUAUAUUAUGCUCAGUCUCUAAAGGGCAGGUUAUCCAUCACCAAAGACACCAGCAAAAACAUGCUGUAUUUAAAAGUGAUUGACCUGAAGACUGAAGACACAGCUGUUUAUUACUGUGCACGAGACUCACAGUCACACAAAAGACUACAGGACAGAACAAAAACUAUUGAAUGUUAUCACUGAAGCAAUAGCAAGCUCCCGCAGAUUUUUUAGGGUGUUGUUUGAAACAUUUAAAUACUUUCUCAUAAACAGUUUUUCAAAUAAAUAAGUGGAAAGGUCUGGAAUGAUUAAGGUACAUCAUAAUGAUCAUAGAUCCAAUGCCUGGAGGGUUGAUCAAUGAGCAAAAUACAUAAUCUGUACAGUUGCCAUGCAUAAGCAUCUGCUAAAUAAAUCUGAAAAUAAUUUG